GGCGGAAUUGACAGUAGCAGUAGGGAAUAUUGGUCAAUAGAUGGAAGUCUGAACCAGCCAUGCCGCGUGCAGGAAGAAGGCCUUCUGGGUUGUAAACUGCUUUUGCCAGGGGAUAAAAUGACCUUGCGAGGUUAAUUGAAGGUACCUGGUGAAUAAGCCACGGCUAACUACGUGCCAGCAGCCGCGGUAAUACGUAGGUGGCAAGCGUUGUCCGGAUUUAUUGGGUUUAAAGGGUGCGUAGGCGGCUUAUUAAGUCAGUGGUGAAAUACUCUAGCUCAACUAGAGGGGUGCCAUUGAUACUGAUGAGCUUGAGUACAGAUGAGGU
rnacentral:rRNA from 1 species